rnacentral:tRNA from 1 species
GCGGGAAUAGCUCAGUUGGUAGAGCACAACCUUGCCAAGGUUGGGGUCGCUUCGGGGUUAAAGAGCGAGUCUCGUUUUCCAGAC